AACUGCCUCCAAUACUGUUGGGCUAGAGAGUAGUUGCGGUAGGCGGAAUGUAUGGUGUAGCGGUGAAAUGCUUAGAGAUCAUACAGAACACCGAUUGCGAAGGCAGCUUACCAAACUAUAUCUGACGUUGAGGCACGAAAGCGUGGGGAGCAAACAGGAUUAGAUACCCUGGUAGUCCACGCAGUAAACGAUGAUAACUCGUUGUCGGCGAUACACAGUCGGUGACUAAGCGAAAGCGAUAAGCUAUCCACCUGGGGAGUACGUUCGCAAGAAUGAAACUCAAAGGAAUUGACGGGGGCCCGCACAAGCGGAGGAACAUGUGGUUUAAUUCGAUGAUACGCGAGGAACCUUACCCGGGCUUGAAAGUUAGCGACAGACAUUGAAAGAUGUUUUCCCUACGGGGCGCGAAACUAGGUGCUGCAUGGUUGUCGUCAGCUCGUGCCGUGAGGUGUCGGGUUAAGUCCCAUAACGAGCGCAACCCCUACCGUUAGUUGCCAUCAGGUCGAGCUGGGCACUCUGGCGGGACUGCCGGUGUAAGCCGAGAGGAAGGUGGGGAUGACGUCAAAUCAGCACGGCCCUUACGUCCGGGGCUACACACGUGUUACAAUGGUAGGUACAGAGGGCAGCUACCCUGCGAAGGGAUGCGAAUCUCGAAAGCCUAUCUCAGUUCGGAUUGGAGGCUGAAACCCGCCUCCAUGAAGUUGGAUUCGCUAGUAAUCGCGCAUCAGCCAUGGCGCGGUGAAUACGUUCCCGGGCCUUGUACACACCGCCCGUCAAGCCAUGGGAGCUGGGGGUGCCUGAAGUUCGUGACCGCGAGGAGCGACCUAGGGCAAAACCGGUGACUGGGGCUAAGUCGUAACAAAGGUAGCCGUAAGCC
rnacentral:rRNA from 1 species